AUUGAAACAUCGGUUCCCGUACGAUCACCAAAGUUAAGCAACGUAGAGCCUGAUCAUUACCUAGAUAGGUGACUGCUUGGGAAUACAAAGUGCAGUA
rnacentral:rRNA from 1 species